rnacentral:rRNA from 1 species
GGGCUUCACACGUCAUACAAUGGUACAUACAGAGCGCCAACCCGAGGGGGAGCUAAUCGCAGAAAGUGUAUCGUAGUCCGGAUUGUAGUCUGCAACUCGACUGCAUGAAGUUGGAAUCGCUAGUAAUCGCGGAUCAGCAUGUCGCGGUGAAUACGUUCCCGGGUCUUGUACACACCGCCCGUCACACCAUGGGAGCGGGUUUUACCAGAAGUAGGUAGCUUAACCGCAAGGAGGGCGCUUACCACGGUAGGAUUCGUGACUGGGGUGAAGUCGUAACAAGGUAACC